rnacentral:rRNA from 1 species
GUCUGCGUGGAGCCAACCUUGAAAUACCACCCUUUAAUGGCUGGUGUUCUAACGUAGACCCGUAAUCCGGGUUGCGGACAGUGUCUGGUGGGUAGUUUGACUGGGGCGGUCUCCUCCCAAAGAGUAACGGAGGAGCACGAAGGUUAGCUAAUCCUGGUCGGACAUCAGGAGGUUAGUGCAAUGGCAUAAGCUAGCUUGACUGCGAGAGUGACGGCUCGAGCAGGUGCGAAAGCAGGUCAUAGUGAUCCGGUGGUUCUGAAUGGAAGGGCCAUCGCUCAACGGAUAAAAGGUACUCCGGGGAUAACAGGCUGAUACCGCCCAAGAGUUCAUAUCGACGGCGGUGUUUGGCACCUCGAUGUCGGCUCAUCACAUCCUGGGGCUGAAGUAGGUCCCAAGGGUAUGGCUGUUCGCCAUUUAAAGUGGUACGCGAGCUGGGUUUAGAACGUCGUGAGACAGUUCGGUCCCUAUCUGCCGUGGACGUUUGAGAUUUGAGAGGGGCUGACCUUAGUACGAGNNNNNNNNNNAACCGCUGAAAGCAUCUAAGCGGGAAACUUGCCUCAAGAUGAGAUCUCACUGGAGCCUCGAGCUCCCUGAAGGGCCGUCGAAGACUACGACGUUGAUAGGUCGGGUGUGUAAGCGCAGCGAUGCGUUGAGCUAACCGAUACUAAUGAACCGUGAGGCUUAACCUUACAACGCCGAAGCUGUU